rnacentral:rRNA from 1 species
UACAGAGGUCCCAAGCGUUGUUCGGAUUUACUGGGCGUAAAGGGUGCGUAGGCGGCAUGGAAAGUUCGGGGUGAAAUCUCCAAGCUCAACUUGGAAACUGCCUUGAAUACUUCCAUGCUAGAGGGUCGCAGAGGAGAUUGGAAUUCUCGGUGUAGCAGUGAAAUGCGUAGAUAUCGAGAGGAACAUCAGUGGCGAAAGCGAAUCUCUGGGCGGCAUCUGACGCUGAGGCACGAAAGCGUGGGGAGCAAACAGG